rnacentral:rRNA from 1 species
GACGAACGCUGGCGGCGUGCUUAACACAUGCAAGUCGAACGGAAAGGCCCUGCUUUUGUGGGGUGCUCGAGUGGCGAACGGGUGAGUAACACGUGAGUAACCUGCCCUUGACUUUGGGAUAACUUCAGGAAACUGGGGCUAAUACCGGAUAGGAGCUCCUGCUGCAUGGCGUGGGUUGGAAAGUUUCGGCGGUUGGGGAUGGACUCGCGGCUUAUCAGCGUGUUGGUGGGGUAGUGGCUUACCAAGGCUUUGACGGGUAGCCGGCCUGAGAGGGUGACCGGCCACAUUGGGACUGAGAUACGGCCCAGACUCCUACGGGAGGCAGCAGUGGGGAAUAUUGCACAAUGGGCGGAAGCCUGAUGCAGCAACGCCGCGUGCGGGAUGACGGCCUUCGGGUUGUAAACCGCUUUCGCCUGUGACGAAGCGUGAGUGACGGUAAUGGGUAAAGAAGCACCGGCUAACUACGUG